UAUUUGUACGACAAAACCAUUGUCUUCUUUCUCUUCCUUCAACUUUCUCACAGUCUCCAUCUUUGAGCUUAACCCAUCUCCCAAAUUAAUCUUCUCUACCCCUCACCGACCAAGAAUGCACUCUUACAGACUCAAAAUCCAGAACAAUUGGCUUUUGUUUAAGCGAAUCGUGAAGACAAGGCCAACCCCAUCUCGCCCGCCAACUGUUCGUUACAAUUCCUCAACCAUCAACUGUCCUUUGGAACACAAUAAUAGUUGGGUUUAUUUGUAAUAACAUGCCCCAUGAAGCCAUUUCAUUCUAUUCUCGAUUGAAACAUGUGGGUUCGUCCGUAUGUGAUCAGUAUACUUAUUCCUCUGUUCUCAAGGCUUGCACGGAGACCAAACGGAUUCUUGUAGGUAAAUCUGUGCAUUGCCACAUUCUGCGUUCUGGGAUUCAUACUAGUAGGAUUUUUAGUAAUUUUUUGUUGAAUAUAUACUCUGCUACUUGUCUUACAUCGGAUAAUGGUACUGAUUGUGAUUUAGUUUAAAGGGUGUUUAGAACUAUGCGUAAAAGAAAUGUUGUUGCAUAGAAUUCUAUUUUUUCAUGGUAUGUGAGAAGGAAGAGGUUUAUGGAAUCAGUGAGGUGUUUUGUUAAGAUGAUGAGAUUAGGCAUUAAGCCAACUGUUGUUAGUUUUAUACUUUUAUUAAUGUUUUUCCUGCUGUAUCAGAAAUAGGGGAUGUUAGAGUUGCUGAUGUUCUUUAUGGAUUGCUUGCGAAAUUGGGUAAUGCAUGUGUAAAUGACUUGUUUGUUGUUAGUGCUGCCAUUGUUAUGUAUGCUGAGCUUGGUUGCGUUGAUUUGGUGACCAGAAUAUUUGAGAAUACUUGUGAAAGAAAUACAGAGAUCUGGAACUCUAUGAUUAGCGGGUACAUUUAGAACAAUUUUCCUUUAAAAGCUGUUGAUCUCUUUCUUUAAGCUGUAGAAGCAGAGGAUGCUGUUACUACUGAUGAUGUGACAUUUGUAUCCGCUCUUAUGGCAACUUCACAAUUGCAGCAUUUGGAGUUUGCCCAAUAGCUACAUGCAUGUCUGAUAAAGAAAUGCAGGGAUUCACAGGUUAUUUCGCUUAAUGCUAUGAUAGCCACAUAUUCUAGGUGUAACCAUGUUCUACUCUUUGCAGCAGAAUGGUUUAGAACCAGAUGCUGUUACCUUUGUAGCAGUCCUGUCUACUUUCAGCUACACCGGAUUGGCUGAUACAGGCCUUAAAUAUUUGAGCUGAUGGGUGAAGAAUACGGGAUUCAGCCAUCAGCAGAGCACUAUGCUUGUGUGGUUGACAUGUUAGGGAGAGUUGGACGGUUGGAUGAAGCUCAUAAUUUUUCUUAACAUUUGGGUGUUGAGGGUAAUGUCUUGGGAAGAUGGGGAUCACUCCUUGCAGCCUGCAGAGUGCAUAUAAAUUUUGAAUUGGGGAAAAUUGUUUCCAGUAAGCUGCUUGAAUUAGAGGGGAGUGAUGGAAUUUAUGGUUAUCAUAUUCUGCUUUCAAAUAUAUAUGCAGAGGUAGGAAACUGGCAGUCUGUCGAUAGCGUCAGAAGAGGAAUGCGCAAAAUGAGAUUGUCACAGGAGGUUGGCUGUAGUUGGAUUGAUACUUCUGGAUAUCCACACUGUUUUGUAUCUAAAGAUAAGAAACAUCCUCAGUACUGCAUGAUAUAUGAUAUGUUGGCAUAUUUAACCAUCAAUAUGUAGGAUGCUGGCUAUAAGCCUAAACUUGAACUAAUAGAAGAGUGGAUCUAUGGGCUAGAAGAAUAAAAAGCUAUUAGUUCUCCCACUAUGUACCUUUGUAUUCAUGAUAUUUUGGACAGGAUUUUGCUAGAGUUCAUAUGAUUGUAGUUUAUCAAUGACCAGCUGCCUUUGAAAUUCGAGAUCAGUCAAGAAUAUCCAUUUUACCUUUUUGGUGGGAAACGAGGAGUCCCAGAUCGCAAAAGAAGGGUCUUAUCCAAAAUGACAACUUCUAUCAAGCUGUCUGAUUGACUGAAGCACAUGUAAAUUAGUGCUGCCAUUGUUAUGUAAGCUGAGCUUGGCUGUGUUGAUUUGGCGACCAGAAUAUUUGAGAAUACUUGUGAAACAAAUACAGAGAUCUGGAACUCUAUGAUUAGCGGGUACAUUCAGAACAAUUUUCCUUUUAAAGCAGUUGAUCUCUUUCUUGAAGCUGUAGAAGCAGAGGAUGCUGUUUCUACUGAU